rnacentral:rRNA from 1 species
GUUUGAUCCUGGCUCAGGAUGAACGCUAGCGGCAGGCCUAAUACAUGCAAGUCGAGGGGGAAGGCUCUUUCGGGGGUACACGACCGGCGCACGGGUGAGUAACGCGUAUGCAACCUACCUGUAACAGAGGGAUAGCCCAUAGAAAUGUGAUUANNNNNNNNNNNNNNNNNNNNNNNCGCAUGGUACUUCAGAUAAAACUCCGGUGGUUAAAGAUGGGCAUGCGUGACAUUAGCUAGUUGGUAAGGUAACGGCUUACCAAGGCUACGAUGUCUAGGGGUUCUGAGAGGAUGAUCCCCCACACUGGUACUGAGACACGGACCAGACUCCUACGGGAGGCAGCAGUGAGGAAUAUUGGUCAAUGGGCGCAAGCCUGAACCAGCCAUCCCGCGUGCAGGAUGACGGCCCUAUGGGUUGUAAACUGCUUUUAUACACCAAGAAAAACAUCCACGUGUGGGUGCCCGACGGUAGUGUAUGAAUAAGCAUCGGCUAACUCCGUGCCAGCAGCCGCGGUAAUACGGAGGAUGCAAGCGUUAUCCGGAUUCAUUGGGUUUAAAGGGUGCGCAGGUGGGAAAAUAAGUCAGUGGUGAAAUACUGCCGCUUAACGGUAGAAUUGCCAUUGAUACUGUUUUUCUUGAGUAUGGUUGAGGUAGGUGGAAUGUGUAGUGUAGCGGUGAAAUGCUUAGAUAUUACACAGAACACCAAUUGCGAAGGCAGCUUACUAAACUGAUACUGACGCUGAUGCACGAAAGCGUGGGGAGCGAACAGGAUUAGAUACCCUGGUAGUCCACGCCGUAAACGAUGAGUGCUAGGUGUAGAGGGUAUCGACUUCAGUGACUGAGCGAAAGCAUUAAGUAAUCCACCUGGGGAGUACGUUCGCAAGAAUGAAACUCAAAGGAAUUGACGGGGGCCCGCACAAGCGGAGGAGCAUGUGGUUUAAUUCGAUGAUACGCGAGGAACCUUACCUGGGCUCGAACGUAUAGGGAAUUAUGCCGAAAGGUAUAAGCCAGCAAUGGCCGUAUACGAGGUGCUGCAUGGUUGUCGUCAGCUCGUGCCGUGAGGUGUUAGGUUAAGUCCUGCAACGAGCGCAACCCUUACCUUUAGUUGCCAGCGGGUCAAGCCGGGGACUCUAGCGAGACUGCCACCGUAAGGUGAGAGGAAGGUGGGGAUGACGUCAAAUCAGCACGGCCCUUAUGUCCAGGGCUACACACGUGUUACAAUGGCCGAUACAAAGGGCAGCUACUCCGCGAGGAGAUGCUAAUCUCUAAAGCCGGUCUCAGUUCGGAUUGGAGUCUGCAACUCGACUCCAUGAAGUUGGAUUCGCUAGUAAUCGCGCAUCAGCCAUGGCGCGGUGAAUACGUUCCCGGGCCUUGUACACACCGCCCGUCAAGCCAUGGAAGCUGGGGGUGCCUGAAGUUCGUGACCGCAAGGAGCGACCUAAGGCAAAACUGGUAACUGGGGCUAAGUCGUAACAAGGUAACC